rnacentral:rRNA from 1 species
ACUGCUCAGUAACACGUAGCUAACCUAACCUUAGGUCAAGAAUAACCUCGGGAAACUGAGGAUAAGACUUGAUAGAAAAUUUUUUCUGGAAUGAGAAAUUUUUCAAACUCGAGCCUAAGGAUGGGGCUGCGGCUGAUUAGCUAGUUGUUGGUGUAAUGGACUAACAAGGCGAUGAUCAGUAAGGGUUCUUAGCGGAAGAGCCCUGAGAAGGAAUCUGAGACACUAUUCCUAGCUCUACGGGGUGCAGCAGUUAAGGAACUUUUACAAUGCUCGAAAGAGUGAUAAAAUCAACCAGAGUGUUUUCUUUUAGAAAACUUUUGUCUGCUGCAAAAAGGCAGAUGAAUAAGGACUGGGCAAGACCGGUGCCAGCCGCCGCGGUAAUCCCGGCGGUCCGAGUCGCAUCCACAUUUAUUGGGUCUAAAACAUCCGUAGCUUGUUUUGUAAGUCUCUUGUG